rnacentral:ncRNA from 1 species
CGUAGGGGAGCUCGGUUUAGCCGGGCUGAGAGGGAGACCGUAUAUGUCACCUACCCUUUCGAACCUGAUCUGGGUAAUUCCAGCGUAGGGAAUAGG